GUCUAUGGCCAUGCUACCCUGCAGAAGCCCAAUCCCGUCUAAUCUUGGAAGCUAAGCAGGGUUGGGCCUGGUUAGUACUUGAAUGGGGGACCACCUAGGAAGACCGGGUGCUGUAGGCG
rnacentral:rRNA from 1 species